rnacentral:lncRNA from 10 species
GAAGGCAGCUUUCAUGUAGGCGAAUUCCACUUUAGGGUUGGAGCCAUGUGAGAGGGAGUGAGGUGGUGUGUACAGGUCAGUGUGAGCCGAAGCUCCAGUUUUCUCAUAGUGCUUUCUUCACCUCCAAAUGGACAUUUCCAAAACAUUUUUAAAAGGUUUUGUUGAUUUUGUUGUUGAAUAUAAAAUUGGGCUUACCCUGGAGUGGGUUGUGCUAGGGGUGGGAAAGGUGCUGGCUUAGUGGAGUGCAGACAGGUCCUCAACUGAUUUAGGUGAAAAGAAAGGUCUUGAUGGGUCUAGAGGCCCAAGGAAUACCAACCCUGCACAAGGGAGGCUUGUUUCCACCCAGUGCAGACAUAAUAGCCUUCCUUCCUUCCUUCCUUCCUUCCUUCCUUCCUUCCUUCCUUCCUUCCUUCUUUCCUUCCUUCCUUUCUCUCUCUCUCUCUCUUCCCCAACUCUCUCUCUCUGUCUCCCCCUGCUCUGUUUCUAUUGGAGCACUGGCUUCUCCUUCUGUAUCUCUGCAGAGAAGUUCUCUUUUCCAUCAGGCAAAAGGCAGGUCCUGAGAUUAUCCAUUAGAUCCUCACGAAGAGAGUGACCACUCUUCUUUCAUCAAAGAGAAUCCUCAUCCCAGCCUGUGUUGCUUGACACCCUGGUCCAGUCCGCUCUCACUGAGGCUAUUGGGGGUUCAUUUUUGUGAAUAAAGAUUGCAGUUCUCAGAGAAUAGGAAGUCAAGAUCUUUUGGGCUGCUUAGACAUCUCGAAGAUACUCCAUUCUAAGCAUUACCUACAAAGAAGGAGACUGAGAAAGAGAAACAGAAAGGACUAGGAACCAUGAGAACAGUGUAAACCAUGCCCACUGAGGAUGAAUUAUAGGAAUGAAGGAUAUUUUGCCUAAAAAAUAGAAGACUGAGGGUGAAAUAAAAGUCCUUUUUAGAAAACUAGACAGUGGUUAUGAGGAGAGAGAAUCCAUAUGCUUGGUGAGCAAUGUGUGAACAUCGUGGACAAGUCAGUUUUGCUUAAGUCUGAGCAGCACGUUUGAAGUAGUUGAUCGGCCCACACUGUAAUGGGCAUUACCUUAGGGGAAGUUAAUGGCCUAU